UACGGAGGGUGCAAGCGUUGUUCGGAAUCAUUGGGCGUAAAGCGCGUGUAGGCGGCUUGGCAAGUCGGUUGUGAAAGCCCGGGGCCCAACCCCAGAACUGCAUCCGAAACUGCCUGGCUAGAGUCCCGGAGAGGAAGGCAGAAUUCCCGGUGUAGGGGUGAAAUCCGUAGAUAUCGGGAGGAAUACCAGCGGCGAAGGCGGCCUUCUGGACGGUGACUGACGCUGAGACGCGAAAGCGUGGGGAGCAAACAGG
rnacentral:rRNA from 1 species